rnacentral:rRNA from 1 species
GACGAACGCUGGCGGCGUGCUUAACACAUGCAAGUCGAACGGAAAGGCCCUGCUUUUGUGGGGUGCUCGAGUGGCGAACGGGUGGGUAACACGUGAGUAACCUGCCCUUGACUUUGGGAUAACUUCAGGAAACUGGGUCUAAUACCGGAUAGGAGCUCCUGCUGCAUGGUGGGGGUUGGAAAUUUUCGGCGGUUGGGGAUGGACUCGCGGCUUAUCAGUUUGUUGGUGGGGUAGUGGCUUACCAAGGCUUUGACGGGUAGCCGGCCUGAGAGGGUGACCGGACACAUUGGGACUGAGAUGCGGCCGAGACUCAUACGGGAGGCAGCAGUGGGGAAUAUUGCACAAUGGGCGGAAGCGUGAUGCAGCAACGCCGCGUGCGGGAUGACGGCCUUCGGGUUGUAAACCGCUUUCGCCUGUGACGAAGCGUGAGUGACGGUAAUGGGUAAAGAAGCACCGGCUAACUACGUG